CGUUUGAUGAGCAGAUCUAGGGUUUCAUGAGAUCUAUCACAAGCUUUAUCUGGCAACUUGAUGUCGAAGGCACCAAGGGAUCCACAGAUUUGAACAAGGGAUCCACAGAUUUGCUGGAGAAUGGCCGGAAUCAGGUGACUGUCUGUCCAUGAAUCUCUCUGGAAUCAUGUUUCAGAUGAAGGUAUGAAGGAGUGUGAUCGAGAUUGGGUACCUAACUGAUGUUAAACAUCAUGCUCAUAUUGGUAAAGUCAGGUAUUUAUCCAACAUCAGACGGGAUCAGCUACCUUGAGGCUAAGCAUUUGCUUCUUUUGAGUUACUGUCAGUCGCUUGGAUAUUACUUGCUUCGCAACGACAUCCUCUUGUUCACAGUCUUUUAACAACACGAUUGUUUUUGGAGAAGAUAUGCGCCAUUGAUAAGAAGUUGCAAUACCAAAUUCAGAAACUAACGAGGCUAACCGUGAAUUCAAUGGAUGACAAGAAGCGUCGUGAACAAGAUGACGCUUUGAAGCUUCGUCCAAACCCCGGCAUGCUUAUUGACAAAAUUGCCCCAGAUCAAGUAUCGACCCCCAAAGAUUACACCUGCAUCAAUGGAUGAAAGCACGACUUCAAAGCAUGAGAGAAAUGCAUCAAGGAAAGAGAAACAAGCGUUCAGGCAAGCUCUGCAUAGCGAGUACGCUAGAUAUUUAAUGAAUGAUCUCGAGGGAAGCCCUGAGGAAGUGAGGGAGGUAAUCGGGACUGAAGAUAGAGAUGUGACCAAAUACUGGGCGAAAAUGGAAGACCGAGCAAGGAGAGAAGAGGCGCUCUUCACCCGAGCGCCUCUUACAAGAAUGGAUAAAAAGCGGUUGAAACACGUGUGCGAAUCAAGUAACGGGCUGCAUGGUUUAGCUUAUGGUUUUGAGGAUGAUAUCAAAUCUUUACCUCUGGAGGAUGGUGUUGAUGGGCAAAUGUCGUCUUUCAUGUAUUUAGACGGCAGAGAAAGAAAGUUCAAGAGGCGAAAGAUGGGAGUGCUUUCAGAGGCAGUUGCAGGAAAUGCUUCAUCACAGUGAUGUAAAGGGAAGUGAAAUAAGGAAGCCAAGUGCCUCGCUUUACGCUAUCCAAUGCCAGAUUGCAUGUGUAAGCAAGCAGUUGCUAAAACUCAACAAGAUAAGACUUGCACAGCUCUCAAUGUUUGAAAAUCCAGUUUCAAAGAUGAGAUUGAGUGAUCUGAUGAAAGCCACCAACAGUUUUAGCAAAGACAACAUAAUCGGGUGGGGAAGAACGAGUUCUUCAUACAAAGCAACACUUGAAGACACUUGGCAUUCCGAGAAAGAAUUCGCAUCAGAAAUGGCAACACUUGGGAACGUGAAACACUAGAACCUGGUCCCACUUUUAGGCUUUUGUGUCACAAAACACGAACGGCUUUUAGUCUACAAAUACAUGCCAAACGGUACCCUGCACGAUAAUCUACACCCCGUUGGCAAAACCAAAAAUGUGUCAAAUAUGGAAUGGUGGGUCCGGUUAAAAGUGGCUAUUGGUUCAGGCUAUUGCCGAAGCAGUCUGUGACUGGUUUUACGAAAGAAACACAGCUCAAUGGAUCGAUCACCAGCAUAUAUUGCCUCGACACUGCUAAUCAUGUCUUAACAUACGGUUCAUGGAUGAAAAUGUGUCCCCUAAAACUAUGUUAUUUGAUAAACGGUAUUGGUCUUAUAUAUGUCACCUAAAAAUGUCAUUCUGUAAAAACUAGGCAUACAUGAACUAUGUAAUUUCUCUCAAUAUCUAUAAACAUAAUGCAUUUUAAAAGGA